rnacentral:lncRNA from 1 species
GGGAGAAGCCCCGGGGACAGUGUGCUGGGAACAAAGCACCACAGAGGUUCUUCAUCCUGGACUUCAAAGGAUCGCUGAAUUCUUCUGGAAUUGAAUGGAAAAUUUGUUUUUGCUUUUUUUUAUCUUGAGCAAAGAAGCCAUAACUUUCAUCAGACUCCCCACGGGUCCACUCCCAAAGCACCAAAAUAGUGGAGCUCUCCCCAUCAGACUUAAGCCUGGCUUUAAUGGCCUUUAUUCAAUAAAAUGAGAGAUCAGUUCA